GAUGAACGCUGGCGGCGUGCCUAAUACAUGCAAGUCGAGCGAACAGAUGAGGAGCUUGCUCCUCUGACGUUAGCGGCGGACGGGUGAGUAACACGUGGAUAACCUACCUAUAAGACUGGGAUAACUUCGGGAAACCGGAGCUAAUACCGGAUAAUAUAUUGAACCGCAUGGUUCAAUAGUGAAAGACGGUUUUGCUGUCACUUAUAGAUGGAUCCGCGCCGCAUUAGCUAGUUGGUAAGGUAACGGCUUACCAAGGCAACGAUGCGUAGCCGACCUGAGAGGGUGAUCGGCCACACUGGAACUGAGCCACGGUCCAGACUCCUACGGGAGGCAGCAGUAGGGAAUCUUCCGCAAUGGGCGAAAGCCUGACGGAGCAACGCCGCGUGAGUGAUGAAGGUCUUCGGAUCGUAAAACUCUGUUAUUAGGUAAGAACAAAUGUGUAAGUAACUAUGCACGUCUUGACGGUACCUAAUCAGAAAGCCACGGCUAACUACGUG
rnacentral:rRNA from 1 species